CUGAGGCUUCUUCAUCAUCAUCAUCAACCGCCGCUUGUGUCCGAGGCCAGCCUUGUACACGAAGUGAAUGGGCUUCGUCGUCUGUCUCCAGAAGAACAUCAUUGGGAUCAUGGCACCAGGUGGAAAAAACUGGAACGACCAUACUUCAACCUAUACCUUUUACCUUGAUGGAUGCGAAGGCAACGUGGAGAGAUCACGUGUCGCUAUCCGGUCCACUGAGCCGCGCCAGCGAGCUUCCGGGUCUAUGGAGCUGCGGCGUAUAUCUGUCGUUCGUGGGGACCGCACUCUGCGAGGGCAAUUGAUUUCCGUUGGUGUCGAGGCGACUGGCGUUAGGAGGUCUGUCCGUACACAGAGGCAACUGAAACGCACUCAGG